rnacentral:rRNA from 1 species
GAUGAACGCUGGCGGCGUGCCUAACACAUGCAAGUCGAGCGAUUCUCUUCGGAGAAGAGCGGCGGACGGGUGAGUAACGCGUGGGUAACCUGCCCUGUACACACGGAUAACAUACCGAAAGGUAUGCUAAUACGGGAUAAUAUAUGAAAGUCGCAUGGCUUUUAUAUCAAAGCUCCGGCGGUACAGGAUGGACCCGCGUCUGAUUAGCUAGUUGGUAAGGUAACGGCUUACCAAGGCGACGAUCAGUAGCCGACCUGAGAGGGUGAUCGGCCACACUGGAACUGAGACACGGUCCAGACUCCUACGGGAGGCAGCAGUGGGGAAUAUUGCACAAUGGGCGAAAGCCUGAUGCAGCAACGCCGCGUGAGCGAUGAAGGCCUUCGGGUCGUAAAGCUCUGUCCUCAAGGAAGAUAAUGACGGUACUUGAGGAGGAAGCCCCGGCUAACUACGUG